GUGGACCUCGGAUCAGGCAGGG
rnacentral:rRNA from 1 species